ACUAAUUUAUUUAGGAGUUUUAUUUUUAAACAAAUUAGGCUCCCACUAUUUUCUCAGAUCCCUACACUCCCUAGGUAGAGAUGUGAAAAUCUCCGUGAUCAGUGAUUUCUAGUGGGUGGUGCGGUCUCACCGACUGGCUCAUCACCUCACCUAACAGUUAUUGGUGAUGGGUCAACCAAUGAGUGGACAACUCUUGUCCAAUGAUUCUCUAAUCAUGGUACACCCAAAACU
rnacentral:lncRNA from 1 species